rnacentral:rRNA from 1 species
AACGUAGGAGACAAACGUUAUCCGGAAUUACUGGGCGUAAAGCGUGCGUAGGCGGUUUGUUAAGUCCGUUGUGAAAGCCCUGGGCUCAACCUGGGAAUUGCAGUGGAUACUGGCGAGCUAGAGUGCGGUAGAGGAUGGUGGAAUUCCCGGUGUAGCGGUGAAAUGCGUAGAGAUCGGGAGGAACACCCGUGGCGAAGGCGGCCAUCUGGACCAGCACUGACGCUGAGGCACGAAAGCGUGGGGAGCAAACAGG